CGCAGCGAACAGGAUUCGAACCUGUGCGGGCAGAGCCCAAUUGAUUUCUAGUCAAUCGCCUUAACCACUCGGCCAUCGCUGC